rnacentral:rRNA from 1 species
GUGGGGAAUAUUGGACAAUGGGGGAAACCCUGAUCCAGCGACGCCGCGUGAGUGAAGAAGUAUUUCGGUAUGUAAAGCUCUAUCAGCAGGGAAGAAAAUGACGGUACCUGACUAAGAAGCCCCGGCUAACUACGUGCCAGCAGCCGCGGUAAUACGUAGGGGGCAAGCGUUAUCCGGAUUUACUGGGUGUAAAGGGAGCGUAGACGGCACUGCAAGUCUGGAGUGAAAGCCCGGGGCUCAACCCCGGGACUGCUUUGGAAACUGUGGUGCUGGAGUGCAGGAGAGGUAAGUGGAAUUCCUAGUGUAGCGGUGAAAUGCGUAGAUAUUAGGAGGAACACCAGUGGCGAAGGCGGCUUACUGGACUGUAACUGACGUUGAGGCUCGAAAGCGUGGGGAGCAAACAGGAUUAGAUACCCGAGUAGUCC